UUUCCGUAGGUGAACCUGCGGAGGGAUCAUUACACAAAUAUGAAGGCGGGCUGGAACCUCUCGGGGUUACAGCCUUGCUGAAUUAUUCACCCUUGUCUUUUGCGUACUUCUUGUUUCCUUGGUGGGUUCGCCCACCACUAGGACAAACAUAAACCUUUUGUAAUUGCAAUCAGCGUCAGUAACAAAUUAAUAAUUACAACUUUCAACAACGGAUCUCUUGGUUCUGGCAUCGAUGAAGAACGCAGCGAAAUGCGAUAAGUAGUGUGAAUUGCAGAAUUCAGUGAAUCAUCGAAUCUUUGAACGCACAUUGCGCCCUUUGGUAUUCCAAAGGGCAUGCCUGUUCGAGCGUCAUUUGUACCCUCAAGCUUUGCUUGGUGUUGGGCGUCUUGUCUCUAGCUUUGCUGGAGACUCGCCUUAAAGUAAUUGGCAGCCGGCCUACUGGUUUCGGAGCGCAGCACAAGUCGCACUCUCUAUCAGCAAAGGUCUAGCAUCCAUUAAGCCUUUUUUUCAACUUUGACCUCGGAUCAGGAUGCAGUACCGCCGUUGCC
rnacentral:rRNA from 1 species